GCAUCUGCAAAUUCAGGUGCCGGGAUUAGGAGCCUCGAAGGAAUCACCGCGACAGAGUAACACGCCGCGAGCGUGUUUUUU
rnacentral:sRNA from 1 species